rnacentral:rRNA from 1 species
UACGUAGGGUGCGAGCGUUGUCCGGAAUUAUUGGGCGUAAAGAGCUUGUAGGCGGUUUGUCGCGUCUGCUGUGAAAAUCCGGGGCUCAACCCCGGACUUGCAGUGGGUACGGGCAGACUAGAGUGUGGUAGGGGAGACUGGAAUUCCUGGUGUAGCGGUGAAAUGCGCAGAUAUCAGGAGGAACACCGGUGGCGAAGGCGGCGACCUGGGCCAAUAUUGACGCUGAGGUGCGAAAGCGUGGGGAGCAAACAGG